CAGCCGCCGCGGGAAUACGAAGGGUGCAAGCGUUAAUCGGAAUUACUGGGCGUAAAGCGUGCGUAGGCGGUGAGUUAAGUCUGCUGUGAAAUCCCCGGGCUCAACCUGGGAAUGGCAGUGGAUACUGGCUCGCUAGAGUGUGUCAGAGGAUGGUGGAAUUCCCGGUGUAGCGGUGAAAUGCGUAGAGAUCGGGAGGAACAUCAGUGGCGAAGGCGGCCAUCUGGGACAACACUGACGCUGAGGCACGAAAGCGUGGGGAGCAAACAGGAUUAGAUACCCCUGUAGUCCCUGUCUCUUAUAA
rnacentral:rRNA from 1 species